rnacentral:lncRNA from 1 species
GGGACACCAUUAUGUACAAUUUUUUUAUGUACAACAAGAAUUGUCCUCUAUUAAUAUGUUUGGCGUGUAACAUCCCUACCUUUGAAAUUGUUUGGCAUAUAACAUCCCUCUCUACCUUUUAAUGUAAUUGAAAAAUACAUGCCCACCACAGAACGUGUUUCAACACCACAGAACAUGCACCAAUUUUAACUCCAUCUUCA